UGGCGGGCGGCGGCGGCGCAGGUGCGGUGUGGGGUGUAGAAACGUGGGAGAGAUGAUUGACUAACAAGUAAAAAAGGGCUCCUGGAAACCAGAAAAUUCGAAAAUUGCAUUUUAUACCUCAUCACUAAAAAUGCUAUAAAUUCUUUCUUUUUUUACUGUUUUUGGUGAAGUUUUAGGGGACCCUUCUUCAUGAACAGGGUCUUCAUAUUGAUAUAUAUUCCAGUAUUUUGGAUAUUUUAGAAAUCAUAGGUGGAUUCAGCGCUGGAUGCCGCAAGCAUUGACCCUGCCUCGACGACCGGACAAACCUGGGCCGAACGGCAGGAGUCGGAAACGCACUCGUGGGCGGACAUUCGACCGUCUUUAUUUGGCGACCUUUCUGUCAUCGCACGCGGUUUCUCAGUCAGGAAUGAAUUGUGGCAUUCAAGAUUGCGAUGCCCCGGCGCUCAUCUCGUGUCUGACUUGCGCUGUCGCCGUCUGUCACGACUGUGGCGUCGGUACCCACUCGUUCCAGCCAGUGCACAAACGUCGUCACUGGACUUCGGGUUACCUUGCGCCACUUGAACCCGUCAAAACUGUGACUGAGAAUGGAGACUUCAUAUCAUUCGUCGACGCGCAACAGACUGGCUGGAAGGAUGAAUAUCACGGUCGCGUGAUCUUGCGGACGGCUCGGUGGAUGAAAAUAGUGGAACCUACCAAUCGAAUGGUGGUCUACGACUCACUAUGUAUGUUUACUUAACAUGCGAAUCACUAUGUAUGUUUAACCAACUCAUUCACCGACUCCUGACCAAGGGAUUGAGCGAAGAUGGCCUGCAUCUCCACAUUACGUUUGUGAGGAGUGUUUCUGUUACUCAGAACUCUGCCGGUUGCAACAUUUAUAAAUUACCAUAAACUCGCUCGGCUUGGCAUGGCUGCCUAAUCGACCAUCUUGUGCAAGGGCUGACUCAAGCUUGACUUGGGGGUGUACCGGUUUUAGUUUCAUUUGCUUGUAAGGUAUUUUUAUGCUGCCAGUGCUGGUCUUGUAAUACUGCUUCCGUAUGGUGUUUGUGCUGCGCAACCGUUUGUGCGAAUGACGAUGCACACUGUUCACUUAUCUAUAGGAAUCCCAUUGCGCAAGGUCAGGUCAAGCUGGUCACGUGACCUCGCCGUUAUAAGUCGGAGGGAAAUAUGGACUGUUAUUUUUGCCCUCCUUGCAAGGUCCAAUAUUUCGUUUUUGCAUCGUUGGCUUACGUAACGUCAUUUAUUACAUCUCUAAAGUCAUAGGAUUUUUUCAUUAUGACUCUCACGAUUUUUUCAUUAUAAGUCCCGAUUAAAUUGAGUUAGCGAGUCGGAAAAGUCGCCAGUGGACUUGGGAAGACCUGCCAAAUCGAAUGAUACGCAAUAUGACCUUCGGCUUCGACUGAGUCCGUGACCUGAGUGGCGUAAACCUUACCUUGACCUGAGGCAUGCGUUACUUAUGUUCAUUGUUCAUACUUAAUUAUUUUUGUAACAUAAUCGCGUAGAUGCGCAGUAGCCAAAAGAUCUUUUCAUUCAUAGAAUAAAAAAUAUGGAGACUGGUCCCGGAAGUUAAGCUGUGCCGAAGAAUGGAUCCCCGUUCAUUAUCCAACUACACGUUAACCCUCGCCCGUAUUGGUGUUUUGCCAGCGGUAAACUCUUCUGGUUGGCGGUGUGGAUGAUAAUGUGUCCUUGUGUGUACCUGAUUUCUGACAAUAAUUGGCUUUCGAGCGUGCAAAUAAACUCUCUCUCUCUCUCUCUCUCUCUCUCUCUCUCUCUCUCUCUCUCUCUCUCUCUCUCUCUCUCUCUCUCUCUCUCUCUCUC